rnacentral:piRNA from 1 species
UCCAAGGCUGCAGAUAUCAGUGAGAAGC